ACUGAAACAUCUAAGUAGCUGCAGGAAAAUAAAUCAACCGAGAUUCCCAAAGUAGUGGCGAGCGAAAUGGGAAGAGCCUGUACGUGAUAGUCGGACUGAUAGUGGAAUGCUCUGGAAAUGGCAGCCACAGCGGGUGAUAGCCCCGUACACGAAAUCAGACCGGUGGUACUAAGCGUACGACAAGUAGGGCGGGACACGAGAAAUCCUGUCUGAAUAUGGGGGGACCAUCCUCCAAGGCUAAAUACUCGUAAUCGA
rnacentral:rRNA from 1 species